GUGUGAUGGUCUCUACAUGCAUGGUUCCACCGUGAAGCAUGGAGGAGGAGGUGUGAUGGUCUCUACAUGCAUGGUUCCACCGUGAAGCAUGGAGGAGGAGGUGUGAUGGUCUCUACAUGCAUGGUUCCACCAUGAAGCAUGGAGGAGGUGUGAUGGUCUCUACAUGCAUGGUUCCACCAUGAAGCAUGG